rnacentral:rRNA from 1 species
AUCGAACGCUGGCGGCAGGCUUAACACAUGCAAGUCGAGCGAGCGGCGGACGGGUGAGUAAUGGCUGGGAAACUGCCUGAUGGAGGGGGAAAAACACUGGAAAAGGUAGCUAAUACCGCAUAACAUAAGAUGUGCCGAGAAGGGAUGAGCUAGUGGGUGGGGGAAUGGCUCACCUAGGGGACGAGCCCUGGCUGGUCUGAGAGGCUGACCGGCCACACUGGAACUGAGACCCGGUCCAGACUCCUCCGGGAGGCAGCAGUGGGGAAUAUUUCACAAUGGGCGCAAUCCUGAUGCAGCCCUGCCGCGUGUGUGAAGAAGGCUUUCGGUUUGUAAAGCUCUUUCAGCGAGGAGGCGUUACUCGCAGAGGAAGCACCGGCUAACUCCGUGCCAGCCGCCGCGGUAAUUC